GUGAACGCUGGCGGCGUGCCUAAUACCUGCAAGUCGAGCGAACGGACGAGAAGCUUGCUUCUCUGAUGUUAGCGGCGGACGGGUGAGUAACACGUGGAUAACCUACCUAUAAGACUGGGAUAACUUCGGGAAACCGGAGCUAAUACCGGAUAAUAUUUUGAACCGCAUGGUUCCAAAGUGAAAGACGGUCUUGCUGUCACUUAUAGAUGGAUCCGCGCUGCAUUAGCUAGUUGGUAAGGUAACGGCUUACCAAGGCAACGAUGCAUAGCCGACCUGAGAGGGUGAUCGGCCACACUGGAACUGAGACACGGUCCAGACUCCUACGGGAGGCAGCAGUAGGGAAUCUUCCGCAAUGGGCGAAAGCCUGACGGAGCAACGCCGCGUGAGUGAUGAAGGUCUUCGGAUCGUAAAACUCUGUUAUUAGGGAAGAACAUAUGUGUAAGUAACUGUGCACAUCUUGACGGUACCUAAUCAGAAAGCCACGGCUAACUACGUG
rnacentral:rRNA from 1 species